GAAAAGAUGCCGUGAUCAAUUUACACAGGUUUUGCUGGAACAUGCUGUCUUAAUGGUUACUGCAUGGCAGAAAGGAAACAGGAUUCGCUAAAAGCUAGCUGGCUGGUGGUGCUGGAAAGGAGGAACAGAGGAGAUUAGAUUGCUGAGAGCAGUGGAGGCUGCCAGUCCUAGAGCAUCUAAGAUCAGAGAACAGACAGUCCACGGAGCACAGAGACCCAGAGAGUCAGAAAGGCAGGCAGCCACAAGACAAAACGGAAGGGCCAGGAUCCCCAUUGGGACAAAAUUCUAAUCAACAAAACAUAAAAGACUACUAGACAGAAUACAACACCACCUCAAGUUCCUUUGCAAGAGGAUGUUUCAGAGCCAAUCCAAGGCAAGUGGAGGAGAAUUCACCAACACUACUAGUUGAGGAGCUGUGGCAGUUUACCUACCUGCAGUCUGAAGAGGAGCCAGUGAGUUGAAUUGGAAGAUGCCUUUCCUUUGACAGAAAAAGCAGACUUCUAGAGAAUGGAAUCCUUCAGUGGAGAAAGGCUCCUAUCAGAGAAAGCUCUUUCCUUUGAAGCAAGGGACUUUUAGGCUCAAGGAUCAUUUCCCUCUCCUAGCUAUUAUAGUUCAAGUUGUUCAUUGUAAAUGAGUAUAGCUUGUAAUUGUAAGUUUAAUAAUUUUGUAACUUUGUGUGUAAGUUUUGUGUUUGAAGCAUAGGAAUGGUGGAGAUAUUUUUACUAAUGGUAUUGUCCUUUUAUAUGCCCUUUGUAUUUUGAAAUAUGUAUAUAUACAUGUAUAUUUUAUUGUUUACAGAACAAUAAAGAGAAAAAUUGAGAAAGAUUGUCAUCAAACUA